CGGGGGGAGCGAGGAGGAAAAACCCUGACAGAAAAGAACCCCUUUGGGGCCGGGGGCACCCCAAGUCCUGCUUCGCUGAGCGCUGCGGUUGCUUUGCAAUUCACAGCUGAAAUACAGAUGACUUCAAGACAGAGAGACUCACACACACAGAGGACUAUUCCCAAACCGAAAGCAUCCCUCCAUUUAACACAGCCCAGGAGAGGAGAAGGUAUCUGGUGUUCGCUGAGUCCGUUGACGGGAAAAUGAAAUCCAUGAUGGCCUCCCACAUCUUCGUGAUGGAUAACAGUUACUUCAAAGAAGCCAAGCCUAGCGUAGACAAAGAGCAAAAGAAAGAGGCUAGAGUCUUCAGGCUGCUCAGAACUGCAGAAGCCCGCAAUCACUUCAAAACCUGAGAUUCUGCUAUCAGGAGCUGGGGUAAAUGUUAAUUUCCGUGAAAGGACCUGGAACUCCAGCGUGCAGAGCCAGGACUGGCAGGAGGAGGGAGAGCUCGGUUGUAAACUACUCAUCAGCUCUAACAUCAGGGAAUCACCGCGAGGGCAAAGAGGAGAGGUCAGCUUUUACGCCUGGAACACUCUGCGAAAAUCACCUCAUAGAAGUGGAUAGCCUGUGUAUACAAGAUAUCUGGGGACCAAACCAACAUUACUCCAGUCUGGUCCCUCUGGAAAGAUCCCAGAGAAGGCUGGGAAGAAUCCAGCAAAGUAGAGAACAGAAGAAACACAGAAAACCACACAAUGCUGAAUCCCUCCUGGUCAAGGAUCAGGCAGCUCCCUGCUUCCAUGCGCAGGUCACCGAGAGAAAAGCUCACGGCUGCAUCCUGAGGCUCAGACGGCAGCGUAGUGACCCAGGCACUGCUCUGCUCUUCUAGGGGACUCGCGCCAGCCGCAGUAGCUUCUGUGUGACAGACCCAACAGAUCGCCUCUCAAGUCAGGGAAUGAAGACAACCGUAAAACAAGACUGCAAUAAAAGCAUUGCAAAUAGAAAAAUAAAGGGCAAAAUGUGAAAAGCAGAAAACGGAGGAGAAAGGAGAGACCAGAGAGAGCCAAGAAGCAUGAAGAAGUGAUGGGAUACUGCCCUGGGAUGCAAAGGCAGCCCAUCCGCUGAUCCACGACAGAGGGCAGUUUGAGUGAAUUUAGACAGCUCAUGUCACAGAGCAGGCAAGCCUGUCUCCAUCCUCAGUGCCUGCUUUUAGAUACCAGACUGGCACAUACAGCACAGCCUUUUUGGCUGCUCACGCCACUACCGUGCUUCCAUUCGAUAUAACGAUCUGACUUCAUGUCAGGUCUGCUACCUGAAUUAACCUUUUCAUGUUGCCUCUGAACACCAGUUGACACAGCAGUCUAAUUCUGCUCACCCCAAGAAUAACGAGGAGCCAAAUCAUUACCCCCUGGUUUAGGCCUUUUCAGAUUCUCUGGCCUUGGGCCCAACCUGAUUUACAACUCCAGAUGAUGGAAGAAAGUCUCAAGGCCUUCAAUGAGAGGCGAAGGAAAUAAAUCAUCUGAUAUCCUGCCAGCAAACUGCCAUAGGCGCUUUGAGACUGGAGGCGUUUCUCCUGGCCCAAAAGAGCAUUAAAAAAAAAAACCUAGCUGAUAACUUGGACAGGGUUCAGAAAGAAGAGGGGAAAGUGAGAAAACAGCUAUAUUCAGCUAUAUUCCUACUUCUUGUCUUUAUUCUCCUGGACUGAGGCGAAUCUACCACCGACAGACAGAGCUUGGGAACUAGUGUCUGAGCCAAUGUUUCCUCAGCGCCCAGCACCCUGCUCUCCUUUACUCCAUCACCUCACACCACUUGUGUAACUGUGUUACAGAGGAGUCACAUAAAGGCAAAGUGAGAAGAUGAAAGAGGUGAAACAUUUAUUAGAAGACCCUGAAACUUUGAGGAAUUUUUUAGAAUAAUUCAAGAUACCUGAGGGAUUGGGACGGAGGACCAGGAAUAGACAGAUGCUUCAGCCACCGAGUUAAAUAGUUUCCCAACCUGUGCAACAGCUUCAGCUACGGUAGAUGGGCCUUCAGUGCUUGUGGUGUGGAAGAGCCAGAGGAACAAGCAGGUCGGCCCCAUGAGUUAGCAUGAAACCUUGCUAAUGUAAAUCCUGCAACUUGGUUAUGUUUGUUCUGGAAUUGCAUGCACAUAAAUCAGGUCAUAAUCAAAGCUUUACCCAUUUCGGUAUCACCUGAUCAAUUAGAAAUAGGGAUUGUAUGGUGUUAAGCCAAAAACUGCAUACAAAAAUUGUUGUUCUGCAUACAGAAGUUGUUCUCAGCUUAGCAUACAAGUGAGAAACCUCAAAGUCAUGAGCAGUUUUUCCAGGACAAUGAGUCCUGGACCUUGCUACGUUAAAACAGAAAUACCAGAAUGAUACUUGUUCACACAGUCAUAACCAUCAUUCUCUUUGUCUGCUGUCUUGUAGCCAGCAGGUCGUGCACAUUUGUGUUUAGAUGCGUCCACAGAGGAAUCCAACCUGCAAAUAAAGAACUGCAACAGAAGUUGCGGUUUUGUUAUUACUGCUCAAGACUGAGAUUGUGUGAGAAAAACACUUUCCAGUUCAGAUGGAGGAAAUGGAAAGCACAAAGAUUCAUUACUUUGCUAUUCAACAGAGCAGAUUUCUAAUGAACGGCAUCUACCAAACAAUUUAGAGAUGAGGAAGUGGUGGAGAGAUGCUUUUUAUGUGAGUAAAAAUCAGAGAAUAUAGUUCUCGGGCUAGAUUACGCAACCAAGAAUAUCUUUACCUUCCCCUCUUGUGCAAAGGAUUUUCUUUUCAUUAUAGACACUUGACCUUGACUUCUCAAACCUUCCCCUCAAAUAUGCUCUUCCCACCUCUCUUCAUCUACAUCACCUUCCCCCUGCAGCCAGAGACUUGCAGACUCCUCCAAAGAGCAGACUUUCCACUCGUUCUCCAGCAUACCAGCAGGAGCUGUUCCACCCACUUGGACUUCUGUAGAGAGACCAGGCCACACUGUGCUCGCUUUUACAGGGGGAAGGUCUCCAAAGUGUCUUUCAACUCCUCCUACAUUUUAAAAAGUCAGAGAUGCUUUUGAACUAUGGCAGCGGAUGUAGGUUGGAACAGACUGGAUUUGGUCCCCCUUUUUCCACUGUCCCAUCUCGUGGUCAAGGAAAGGGCCCAGCUGUCCAGAUCUCCCCUGCCUGCCUUGACUUCGGCCAAGAGAGUAAAUGGAAGAGUCCAGCCAGCUCAGUUUUGUCCUUAUUGUCACCACUUUCAACUUCUUUCUGGCAUACUUGUACCAACUGUUCAGCCAUCUCUCAAACGGUGAUGAGAGUUUGAGAGAAAGUCUGUAGAUCACCGAGAGGCUCAGAUGAAAACGGCGGCGUGUUAAUAUGGGUUAGUGCACCCAAGGGCCCUGGCAGCUUGUACCACUGGCAGCAGAGUCGAUGAUUUGCAGUGAUUCCUUCAGAGAAGGACAUCCCUACGAUACCCAAGGCAGGCUUUGGGGCUGCGGCGCCUGUACGGCUCUUAGUCCCAUCCUCCAAUGCCAGCACUAGCCCUUUUGGCUAAGAUUUCCUUCUCCCGGCCUGCACCCCCCAGCUUGGCACUAAAAAGCAAACAAACAGCUCUGUGAGCCGCAGAAUUUGCAGAGUCUGGCUUUAACAGGCUGGCGUCUCUUGGGGGACUGACCUGGGUGCCUGAGAGGGCACAGACUCUGACUGAAGCUUUUCCCACGGUUUGGGCAUCAAUCAACUGUCAGAGCCGUGCGGAUUCUCUAGUGUCUAAUACAGUCUGACAGCGUGUGUUGGUCUCUCUCACAGUUGCAGCCCUGGCGGGGUCAUUCUUUACCCAGCUGUUUGUAAAU